rnacentral:misc_RNA from 1 species
UAGUUGGAAGGGAGGUGACCAAUGAGAGGAGGUGAGGCCUGAGAGUGCGCACAACUCACCCCAGCUGCCAUUUUACUUUGGGUAUCAGUUAAUUUGGGGCUCACUUUCACAGGAAAUGUCAGCCGAGGGUGGUGCGGCAGCGGCAGGGGGUGCUGCCCCUGGAGGCGAUCCCCCCACAGGAGAGAAUGGCGAGAUUGUGGGGGGACCCCGCGGACCACAGCAGAUCGCAGCACAGAAACGAAUGCAACAGACACAAGCACAAGUUGAUGAGGUUGUUGGAAUAAUGAGAGUCAACGUGGAGAGAGUUUUGGAACGUGAUCAGAGAAUAUCAGAGCUAGAUGACCGAGCAGAUGCCCUCCAACAAGGAGCCUCACAAUUUGAACAACAGGCCGGCAAACUAAAGAGGAAAAUGUGGUGGAAGAACCUCAAGAUGAUGAUCAUUAUGGGCGUCAUCGGUAUUAUCGUCCUCAUCAUCAUUGUUGUUUACUUCAUGUAAAUCGCCGUGUAUCAAUGUCUUCUGUAUGUGCGCUCUUGAAACAAAAACAAGUUUGGGCCGUAAACGACUCGGAGUGAAGACGUGCAGCUGGGCUAAGACGAGAAGAACGGUGAAGCAAUACAAUGACUGGUGGAUGUAAAUUGUUAGGUUUCGAUUGAUUGCCCGUGUACAUAUAAUCUAUGAAUCAUCUAUGUCAACACCCAUGGUAUCAGUGUAGUGACAGAAGUACCACAUAAUGAUGUUCACUAAAUGGCUAGUAUGCUACCAGCAGAUUCAGCAUCUUAUGACUAGGGUCUCAUCAGAAUAUUUUACUUCAUCAUCAACUUAGACUUUCAGUAAGAAUUUUGCCUAUUAAGAUACUAUCAUACAUAUUUACCUUUUUGUAAUUAUUAAUAUCUUGCUAGUCAUUCGAUUUGGCACUGAUUAUAUAUAUAUAUAAUAUAUAUAUAUAUAUAUAUAUAUAUAUAUAUAUAUAUAUAUAUAUAUAUAUAUAUAUAUAUAUAUAUAUAUAUAUAUAUAUAUAUAUAUAUAUAUAUAUAUAUAUAUUAUAUUUAUAUAUAUAUAUUGAUACUUGUUUCUUGUCCAUUAUCCUAUUUGUCAUUAAUAUUUUUCUUGUAAAGGGCCUUUCCUGAGUCUGCCAUGAUGGUCAUAAAUCCUGUGUUUAAGAGAUCCUUAUUUUUCUUAGUCUUGGUUAUGUAAGGCCCUCUCCUGGAACAGCCCUAUUUCAUCAUUCCACACCAUUAGUGUGUAACAAGUUUUAAUGUUUUCUGCUCAUUUUGCAAAGGGAAGUUUCCACAGCUUCUAUCAUUACAGUCCCAGAGAGGAAGGACCUGUGUCAAGCGUUACCAGACUUAUGAUGCCCGAUUGGCAAGAACUCACCAGUGGUUAGAGUACUGUAUGUGCCUUCUGCAGUUGCUUGUAAAUUCUCCUCCAGUCCACAGGUUCCUCCUGUCUGGUCAAGUUAUUUUUAAGUGCAUAGAAGGAAUGCAUUGGUGUCAUAGCAGGAGGCAAGCCAAGAACAAGUGAUACCCUCAGGGAGCUGUGUUGCCAGUUGGUACCUCUGGGUGUGUGUUUUGUUGCUCUCGUACUGGGUUGGUGCUAAUGUAUCAUAUAAUAAUUUAUAAUGUAUUGUAUAUUGUAAGUGUCAACAAAGUACGAGUGAGGUAAACAGUGCUAUGAGGGCUGUAGCUGGUAUCAUGGGUUGUUGCUUAAGUUUUGGGGGCCUCCUGAUUAUGACCCAAAAACUCGGAUUAAAGUGCCCAAGUUAUUGUAUCAUAAUAUCCCCAAAGACUUUAUGGCUUGUUAGAUGGUGUGUGAAUAGGCUUGGUAUAACCCCAUGUUUACAUCCAGAAGCCUAAUGGUUAAUUAUUAACAAUUAUUAUUCUUUAGGAGUCCAACAUAUCUACUGCUCUUUAGUGAUGUAUCAAAGUAGAAGUAAUAUUACUCUGUUAAACGUGAAAUAUAGUGUGUUUAUGUCUGUAAUCUUUUUAUUGUGCCCUUUACUGCUAUGCCGCUGUGAUGAUGGUCAGAAGGAUGGUUCAUUAAGCUGCUCUUACAGUUACAUAGGAGUUGCACAUUAUUAUUUUUGUUAUAUUGUUUCGAGUAUCAGAAAAGAUUGGAGGCCAAAUCAUUUAGUUGUUAAACAGUUGAACCAAGGAAGCUUCAUAUUAGAUGGAAAUGGUUGAUAUUAUCGGGGAAUGCAUACAUAUUAAUGGUUACCUUCAAGGUCAAAACUUUUUGUUUGUGAAACUUUUCUUUUAAAGAAAUUGAAAGGAAUAGCCAUUCUCCAUUGUUGUGGGUAACCUUUGAGUUGUGUGCUGUAUUUUGGUUCUACAUAAUUGAUUAAUUCGUGGAUAGAAAUUAUUUUGUUGUUCAUUAAGGAAAAUAUUAAAGGAUUGUGGUAUCCUUCAUUUCGAUGUAAGGUUUUUUUUAAUUAACAUGUUUUCAGUUAAUAAUGCCAUCCUGAUGCAAAGUACUUUCAAGGUCUAAAUUAUGUUCAAAGACAAAUGUAGAGGCAAGAUGAUGAUGAUUGUACCUGUGCAUUACUGCAGUACACCUUCAUAAUGUGAAUACUGGUAGUAUUCUCUUCAUAUACAUUCAGAUGAAUACAUAACACUGCAUUCAGUCUUGCAUACACAGGUGUUUUUGUAAUACGUAUAUCCAGAAUUUUUUUUACUGACUAGGUUACGUGUUGCAUAUUCUUGGUAGAUUAUGCCAACAAUGACUCCUUAAAUCUUCAUGUAGUAACAUUGAGUAUCAUUUGUUCCCCAUGAAGUAACACUGACUUAUUUGUUCCCCAUGAAGUAACACUGACUAUUAUUUGUUCCCCAUGAAGCAACACUGACUUAUUUGUUCCCCAUGAAGUAACACUGACUAUUAUUUGUUCCCCAUGAAGCAACACUGACUUAUUUGUUCCCCAUGAAGUAACACUGACUAUUAUUUGUUCCCCAUGAAGUAACACUGACUUAUUUGUUCCCCAUGAAGUAACACUGACUAUUAUUUGUUCUCCAUGAAGUAACACUGACUAUUAUUUGUUCCCCAUGAAGCAACACCGACUUAUUUGUUCCCCAUGAAGUAACACUGACUAUCAUUUGUUCUCCAUGAAGUAACACUGACUAUUAUUUGUUCCCCAUGAAGUAACACUGACUUAUUUGUUCCCCAUGAAGCAACACUGACUUAUUUGUUCCCCAUGAAGCAACACUGACUUAUUUGUUCCCCAUGAAGCAACACUGACUAUUAUUUGUUCUCCAUGAAGUAACACUGACUAUUAUUUGUUCCCCAUGAAGUAACACUGACUUAUUUGUUCCCCAUGAAGUAACACUGACUAUUAUUUGUUCCCCAUGAAGUAACACUGACUUAUUUGUUCCCCAUGAAGCAACACUGACUUAUUUGUUCCUCAUGAAGUAACACUGACUAUCAUUUGUUCACCAUGAAGUAACACUGACUAUUAUUUGUUCCCCAUGAAGCAACACUGACUUAUUUGUUCCCCAUGAAGUAACACUGACUAUUAUUUGUUCUACAUGAAGCAACACUGAUAGUGAUUAAUAAUGUAGCACUCUUCACCAUAGUACAUAGCAUUAAUAUCAUUAUUUCUCCAUCAACUUCUAGGAACCCCAAAAUAUUAACUAUAGUUCCUCAUUCUUCCACCCAUAUCCCAUUGAUUCCCAGAUUCCUUUUCUUCAGUAGUGCCUCCAUAUGUGUGUGUAUGUAUGUGAAAUUUACUGUACAUUUAUAUACAUCCAAGUGUUUGUGAACAAGAAAUAUAUUAAUUAUUCCUGGAUGAUAAGUUUUGUCGUUAAACAUUGAAGCUUUUAAAUGUCAUCUUGUUUGUUGUACUUUAGGUUAAACCACAGUUGUCCACAUGUUUACAUUUUCCAUUUUAGUGUAUCCAUCCAUAUUGAUGUAACCCACAUUAUGUUGGUCUCAUAUUGAUGUAACCAAUUUUAAAAGUUGUUCAUCCAUCUUGGUGUGUAGCCCACAAUUUUUCUGUGCUUGUUGACAGAACCCACUUAAAGCUGUCCUCCCAUGUUGACAACCCACUUUAAGCUGUCCACCUAUGUUGACAAAACCCACUUUAAGCUGUCCACCUAUGUUGACAUAACCCACUUUAAGCUGUCCACCUAUGUUGACAUAACCCACUUUAAGCUGUCCACCUAUGUUGACAUAACCCACUUUAAGCUGUCCUAUGUUGACAUAAUCCACUUUCAGCUGUCUACCCAUAUUCACAUAACCCACAUUAAUGUGUCCACCUACUGUAUACUGCCCAGACUCAUGUGUUGACUCUUAUUGAUGUAACUCAUGUUUAAUGUAUCUACCCAUUUUGACAUAACUUGUAUUAAAUUGUCCAUCAAUUUGA